CCUCGGGUGGCUGCAGUGGGGAAUUUUGGACAAUGGGGGCAACCCUGAUCCAGCCAUUCCGCGUGAGUGAAGAAGGCCUUCGGGUUGUAAAGCUCUUUCGGCCGGGAAGAAAUCGCAUCUCCUAAUACGGGGUGUGGAUGACGGUACCGGAAGAAGAAGCACCGGCUAACUACGUGCCAGCAGCCGCGGUAAUACGUAGGGUGCGAGCGUUAAUCGGAAUUACUGGGAGUAGAGCGUGUGCAGGCGAUGCGAAAUCCCCGGGCUUAAGCUGGGAACUGCGUUUGUGACUGGUGGGCUUGAGUGCGGCAGAGGGGGGUGGAAUUCCACGUGUAGCAGUGAAAUGCGUAGAGAUGUGGAGGAACACCGAUGGCGAAGGCAGCCCCCUGGGUCGACACUGACGCUCAUGCACGAAAGCGUGGGGAGCAAACAGGAUUAGAUACCCGGGUAGUC
rnacentral:rRNA from 1 species